rnacentral:rRNA from 1 species
UGGGGAAUUUUGGACAAUGGGGGAAACCCUGAUCCAGCCAUCCCGCGUUUGCGAUGAAGGCCUUCGGGUUGUAAAGCACUUUUGGCAGGAAAGAAACGUCAUGGGUUAAUACCCCGUGAAACUGACGGUACCUGCAGAAUAAGCACCGGCUAACUACGUGCCAGCAGCCGCGGUAAUACGUAGGGUGCAAGCGUUAAUCGGAAUUACUGGGCGUAAAGCGUGCGCAGGCGGUUCGGAAAGAAAGAUGUGAAAUCCCAGAGCUCAACUUUGGAACUGCAUUUUUAACUACCGGGCUAGAGUGUGUCAGAGGGAGGUGGAAUUCCGCGUGUAGCAGUGAAAUGCGUAGAUAUGCGGAGGAACACCGAUGGCGAAGGCAGCCUCCUGGGAUAACACUGAAGCUCAUGCACGAAAGCGUGGGGAGCAAACAGG